GAUGAGCAUCCUGAUAUGUGGCUCGAGAGUGUGCCUUCCGAUUAUGUGCUCUAAAGGGGUACCACUGGCUACAAAUUGACGGAUUAUAGACUUGUACACUUUAAGUGUACUAUAUGACUAUCCAUCGAUAUUUCAAAUAAAUUCAACGGGCAAAGUUCUGACAGGGUUAAAUAUGAACUAAAGAUAAGUUGUCAUGGAAUGAAAUAUGAGAUAUGGAAAUAUGACAUGAAAAUAAAUUAUUUUUACAUGUAUCUGCC
rnacentral:lncRNA from 1 species